rnacentral:hammerhead_ribozyme from 1 species
AUCAAGAUGACGAGUCCGAAAUAGGACAAAACGAGCGUCCUCCAU